rnacentral:piRNA from 1 species
UACAGAACUUAGCGAGAUGACCAUACCU